UAGCAAUAGAAUCCAUUCCAUCGAUCAGUGAAUUGAUGAAUUUAUUGGAGUUACUUUCAUAGAUUUGGUUGAUGGUUGCUUACAGAAGUGUGUGAGACCCCAAGCUAGCUGCAUCACAGAACAGUCUACUCCAGUAUGGGUGAUGACAGAAGCUGUGUUCCUGCUGCUUCCUGAAGAACAUGUGGGACGUUCAGCAGACUGGAGAAUCUCACCCUGGCCCCAGAAAGUCUUAUUGCUUUAGUAACCUUGGGGACAGCCUUUUGCAUCGUGCAACUCUUGGGGCUUCUGGGGCCUUCUAACUUUCAUCAAUUUUCUGAAUCUUAUGAUCCCCUCCUUCCUCCAGAAGGAGACCUUUCUAAUAGGAGGAGAAAGGUACACCACAGUGGAUGUGGAAGCCUUUCCCUGCAUGGAAGAACAGGGAAUGAAUGACACAACGCUGUACUAUUUAAGUCAGAAGCUUAAUUUCUCUAACUGCUAAUGUGCUAUUUUAGAUGUUCCUUCACAUCAGUUCAUAUUUAAAUAGCAUUUGAAAAUUUAAAAGCAUAAAAACAUUGGUGUGCUUGCGAUGGCAUAAUUGAGUUUAAUGAACUGGAAACCUAGAUCCACUUACUGUGAUAUGUUUGCCUCUGUACAGGUUGGUUGAUUGUGGAAUAGCAGUGGAUCUCACAUAAGAGACACGUUCGGUAGGAAACUACCUCAGUGGAGCCCGUGUAGUUAGGGUAAAACUAGAACAGGUUCUGGAGCAGUCAAUUCACUCAUUCAAGAGUGUCAAAGUCAUGAUCCAUUUCAGUAUUCUAUGGUUCAAUUCAUGUCCUGUAUAAGAAAAUUCUUGGGUCAGAGCAGACAGCAGUAUGAGUCAUAUUGCUAUCCAAAAUCAAGCUUCUUAGGAUUCUGGUUGCCCUCCCUUGGGAUGUAACCUGGAAAAAAGGAGUAGAUGGGGCUGAGACCUCCAUGUACCUUUGGAGCACUAGCUUAUGAUCAUGAGCCUUAAAAAAUAAAUAUAUAAGGGAUUGAACUUCAGAGAUAGAGAAUAUACUUUCUUUGAGGGUCCUAAAUGUUGUGUAGGAUGUAUUCACAGUAAAGCAAAUAUGGUUCAGGUGCAUUUCAAGCAAGCAGACCCCCUAUGUUGUGUCUGACAAUAUUUACAUAUUUAGAAUGUGGACAGAGGGCGUUGCCAUUUAAAAAUAGUCAAGAGUUUUGCUGUAGAUGAUUUUCAUAGGAGAUAUUUUUAAUUGCUUGAGCAAUGCUACUCCUCUCAGAACCCCUUAUUAAGAGAAGGUACCUCAUGGGAAGUAUACUGUGGCCCCAUUUACUGCAAGCCACUCAACUACUGUCUCCUGAGAGGAGAGGGAUUUGGAUGCCUCAACAAGUUACGUGGAGAAUUUCACGUAAUGAAGUUUGAUCAAGGGAUUGAGAAGGCUUUGAUGACAGGUAUCUUUUUGUCAAUGAUGAUACCUGAGGUCUUUGUUGGAAGAGGAUGAACAUGAAAGCAAGAGACUGGGCUGAUGGCUUAGAUGGGCUGCAGAAGUCUGUCUAGCAUGUGGCAAGGCCUAAAGAUGUCCUUGUCUAGUCUUCCUGGCAAAGCAUGUGCUACAAUAGUGAUGAUAAAUGUGUGUGAACAAUCAUGGAAUAAAGCAGUCUGUUCUCUAGGACUUGGAGAGGUUUGUACCAUUUUGUAUCCAAGUACUCCUGAGGGCAGAAGAUAUUUCUGUUCACAAUUAUAGCUUCCUGAGAAUGGAUAAGAGAUGAAUGUGUUAAAGUCUGGUGAUGUCGGAUGUGAAAAAGCACCCAUAAUCUUACACACUGCUCACCUGCUGUCGGCUGACCUGCUUCUUAGCCUCUUUCCCCCACAGUGAUGGUUCUUUUAGAAACCCCCAUUCCUUUGCACUGCUUGCUACCGUUUCACCUUAGCAAUGUUCAAGCAUACACUUGGAGUGUUUCACCAAUUCUUCCUCCUGGAGGCAACUUAGUAAGAACUUGAAGUGUGGGAGAGAGUUAAGUGACUCUGUGGGGUGGGGUAGCCAUGUUACAUAACUUUUACAUAACUGGUACUAGGAACUGAAUUUUGGCCUCAUCUCGAGCCACUCUGGUUCACUAUAACUAAAAUGGCUAUCACCACGCACACCGAGACAUAGAUAAUAAUAGAUAACCUCUCUAGUAGCAGCUUCCCUAGAGCCACCCGCCAGCCACCUUUUUGUCUAGGGAAGAGAGGUGAGGAGAGGGACCUGAUAGAACUGUUUCCUUCUUUUUUGGCUUCUGACUGCAUUGCCAACAUCUUAGGUAGGAGGAGUAUGAGUUGAUCAGACUUAAAAACUUUUAGGGACUGUGAUGACUAUCCUUGGUCAUCAACUUGACUACAUCUGGAAUUAACUUAAAUCUAAAAAUUACUGGACACACCGGUGAGAAAAUUUUGCUUAUGAUCAUUUGAAGUGGGAAGAUCCACUUCUAACUCAGAUCCUGGAUGUAUGAAGACCCAUCCCUAAUCCAGACCACAGCUUCUGCUAGAAGAUAUAUAAAGUGCAUGGGAGAAGCAAGUUCUCCCUUUGCAUGCUUUCUCCCUCCCUCCUUAGCAAGUCUUUCCUUCACUGGCCUUAGAUCUCACUUCUAAGUGAGAUUCUGGGAUAUACUGAAGAUCAGCUGACACAUUAGACUCAUGGACUGAACAACUACUGGAUUCUUGGACCUUCUCAUGGUAGACAGUCAUUGCUGGACUAGUUGGAUCACAGCCUGGCAGAGUUUCUCUGGGCAUCUCCAGUUAUCCUGGAACUCACUCUGAAGACCAGGCUGGCCUUGAACUUGGAGAUCUGCCUGCCUCUGCCUCCCAGUACUAGGAUUAAAGGCAAGCACCACCAUCACCUGGUUUUGAAAUCUUAUAACAGCAACUCACUCAGUUGUAAACCGAUAUGGCAUAUGGACCAUUGAGACUAAGGAUAAGCAAGAUUUGACAGGAGAACAGAUCACAGGCCCCAAAGGGAAAAGAAACCCAACUAUGAAGUUAAAAAUUAACAGGAUAAAAAAGUAACCCAGGGAAUGAAGCAGGAUAUGCAAAAUUAUAUAUGUAACAAGUGGCUGUUGUAGAAGUUCGUAGCACCCAAAGAGAUGAGCUAAUUUAAAGCUGAGAAGAUGACUCGAUAAUUCCUCAGAGAAUACCUAAAAUCCCCAACAGUCCCUGGAAAACAGAACUCAGCAGUAUGAAGCAACAGAGAAUUCAUAUGAAACCAUGAAACAUACGUCAGACCUACUAUGAUGGAUGCUAUCAAAGGAACAACAGUGUCACUAAGGAUACAGAGAAACUAGAAACCUUGUGUACUGUGACUGGGUAUGUGAAAUUCAUAGAACUGUUACAGUCUGAGGCAUGCCUCAGUCAUGUCAACAGUCUGAGGUUUUGGCCAUGCUAACUAUGCAGAUAACAGCACAAGCUCUAGAAGGAAACUACAUUCAGCUGCUCAGCAAAUGAAAGCGUCUGGGACAUUAACAAAGACCUGGUAAUAAAGAUGGACUAACAGCCUGUCGUUUUUCAGGUGCUGCUCCCAGA